rnacentral:rRNA from 1 species
GGCUACCUUGUUACGACUUCACCCCAGUCAUCCGACCUGCCUUCGGCUGCUCCUCCCUUGCGGUUAGGUCACAGACUUCGGGCAUUUCCGACUCCCAUGGUGUGACGGGCGGUGUGUACAAGACCCGGGAACGUAUUCACCGCGGCAUUCUGAUCCGCGAUUACUAGCGAUUCCAGCUUCAUGUAGUCGGGUUGCAGACUACAAUCCGAACUGGGACGUUAUUUUUGGGAUUUGCUCCCCCUCGCGGGCUCGCUUCCCUCUGUUUACGCCAUUGUAGCACGUGUGUAGCCCAAAUCAUAAGGGGCAUGAUGAUUUGACGUCAUCCCCACCUUCCUCCGGGUUAUCCCCGGCAGUCUCUCCAGAGUGCCCGGCUUUACCUGCUGGCUACUGAAGAUAAGGGUUGCGCUCGUUGCGGGACUUAACCCAACAUCUCACGACACGAGCUGACGACAACCAUGCACCACCUGUCUUGGAUGUACCGAAGUAAGGGGACCGUUACGUCCCUGUCAUCCAGAUGUCAAGACUUGGUAAGGUUCUUCGCGUUGCUUCGGAUUAAACCACAUGCUCCACCGCUUGUGCGGGUCCCCGUCAAUU